CAGAGAUGCUAUGUUAGCUUACUGGCGACGACUAUCCAACACAACACUGGAACUCUUCCAAGUCAAGGCGGGGAUCCGGGCCUGUUCCAGUGAAAGCAGGAUAUCCUUCUCGUUGGACUCGUUAAAGGAAGAAGUUUCUUCCAGUCCACGGUGAGUAAUCGCUAUUCUGAUGUCCAGACGUUAUUUUCUGUCAUAAGAGACGAUUGCAGCAACAUUAUGUAUACAAUAUGUUUUUUUUAAAGUUACACAAAAUGCAAAAAAAAAUAACAAAACAUCACAAUUGGUUGGGAGAAUGUAAAACGUCAGCCACGUUCUUCGGCGCCAUCUCAUUUGAGAAUACAUUCUAAAAUGACAGCCUCUCUCCUUCCCAAGUGCCUACAUUUAAAAAGAUGGCCACCAAGCAUUUUGGGACUGUCUUACAUUACAAACGAUGCCAAAUAUAAGCUGUGUAAUGCACUGCAGCUAUAAGACAAGGAGACCAGAGUGUCAUCACAGCGACAACAUUGAAACAUUACCACAUGCUGAUGGUCUAUCUCAUUACCCUACUAUCAAUCAUCAUAUGCAAUUAAAGCCACCAGCCAGCACGGGCUCAAUGACACCAUUACUCACAUCACAUGACACACACAUUGUGCACACACAUUGUACACACACACACACACACACACACACACACACACACACACACACACACACACACACACACACACACACACACACACACCUUGUGACCUUGAAAUCCUUAUAGUGUUUGUGUUGGUUUAGAAUUACUUACAUUGAUGCAACAGCUACAGAAUAUAGUCUCAAUCAUUAUAUUACAUGAUACAACUAGCUUCCAACCAAUGAAGAAACACAAAACCACCAUGAGCGACCUCUCCAUGAGGGUUGAAAGGGUUGGUCUCUUACCUCUUGGGUGUGUCCUCCUCUUUCCCAACUGGCUCUGGCCUGUCCCCGAGGGGCGGGCUGUUGCCGUGUGACCCGUUGCCAUGGCAGCGCUGGUGGUCGCUUUCGCGGGCGAUGUCGGUGGCGUUCUGGAUGACCAGGUGGUCGUAGGUGUGCAGGCCCUGGUCUUCUGCCCCCUGGAGGAACCUCUGGACACUGCAGUCCUCCGUCUGUUGAGAUGACAGUCUACGAUGCACACGCUGUCUGGCCAGCCAGCCACGGAUCACUGACAGAGGAUAGGGGAUUCCCUUGUCAGGUUAGAUCUGUGAAUCCCCCUCUUCCGCUCGGAUUAAAGAACAUCCUGAGAGGAAAGCAAUUGACAUCUUACCACUUCCAACACACACACACACACACACGG